rnacentral:tRNA from 1 species
CCUGUCCGGGGUGCCGGUUGCGAACCCAGGGGGCGUUUUCGCCGUGUCGGCGUCGUUCCGGGCGAAUGCGGCGGACCGGCUCAGCGCGGUGGGCAGGCC